CCUACGGGAGGCAGCAGUGGGGGAUAUUGCCCAAUGGAGGAAACUCUGAUGCAGCGACGCCGCGUGAGGGAAGACGGUCUUCGGAUUGUAAACCUCUGUCUGUGGGGAAGAACAUUACGUUUGCCAAAGAGGAAGCUCCGGCUAACUACGUGCCAGCAGCCUCGGUAAUACGUAGUGAGCGAGCGUUGUCCGGAAUUACUUGUGGUAACGGGAUCGUAGGCGUGAGAGAAAGUUACAUGGUAAAUCUACCGGCUUAACUGUGAGCUGCGUUCAAAACUUCUUAUCUUGAGUGAGUUAGAGGCAGGCGGAAGUCCUAGUGUAGGAGUGAAAUGCGUAGAUAUUAGGAGGAACAGCAGUGGCGAAGGCGGCCAGCUGGGAUUUAACUGACGCUGAGGCUCGAAAGCGUGGGGAGCAAACAGGAUUAGAUACCCGAGUAGUC
rnacentral:rRNA from 1 species